UCCUCUCAUCGGGCAAGCUCACAAUGUGACACUCUCCGGUGUACCUGUGAGGCAACAGGGGGAGUUACCUGCAAUGGUCUUCCGGCAUCGUUUCCUGUUAAUAUACAUAAAAUGGACCUGAGCUAUACUAAUGUAACAUCUUUACCGAAGAGAGCAUUUGCAGAUCUCUUCAGCCUUCGGAAUUUGGACCUGAGCAGCAAUGCUUUAACAUCUUUACCGGAGGGAGCAUUCUCAGAUCUCGUUAACCUUCAGUAC